GCAGAAUGAGACCAACUGAGUUUCUGCUACUUGAUGUUUUCUGGCGCCAAGUUCUAAUUCAGCUGUAAACUCCUUGAGUGAAUCACAGCCCCACAAAAUUCAUGAGCCUGGAAGCAGAUUAGAACUUGCCUAGGAUUUAUAACUACAGCUCGAGGAAGACUACAAAAGACAACGAGCUGGUACGCACCCAGCGAAUGAGAGACGGGGAACAGGUCAUGCUGAUAAAGUACCCGUCACAGGGAGAGGAAGAGACAGACAGAGACAGGAAGAAAUAAAAUGGAACUUCACUCCUUAGCUGUUUUUGUUUUCCUCAACUAGCAAACAACAGGACCGGUAUGAAGAUAAGGAGACAAUCAGCUAAGCUAAAAUGGGAAGAGCAGCAACUCAUGAGCUCACAUCUCAACUUGCUUUUCUACACUCUUGGUAGAGAGGCUUGCAGAGAUUCCACAGCCCUCACAAAGGGGCUUUCUGAACUUCUGAGCAGAGUCGAUUACACAACAGCUGUAUGGCCCUCCUAAACCUUCCCCAGUGUCUGCCUCGAA